UUUCUCUCUUUUGCCUCGGCAGCUCUUUGAACACAUUGUAGAUGCUCUACUUGAAAAUACAAUUCCCCAAGUACUGUGGCUGCACGGUCCAUGAUAAGCUUUAUCGGAGGUGAAUGGAACCCUGGAAUCUACAACCCCAAAUCAGAAAAAGUUGAGACGUGAGAGCCCUAUCAUGCAAGAUUGAAUAAAACCUAUUUCUUCUGUUGCUUCAAGUUCUGGGUUUCAGCAUGUUUAAUUCUUUCUUCCACCACAAUUCAUGGCGACGAGGAUGGCAUAUCACGAGUAGCAGGGACUUUUCCAGAUCCAAGUUGGGGAAAUUAUCGCCCAGCAAGUCUGAUGAGCUCUCCGGAGACAGACUGAUUUUUUAGAGGACGGGGAUCCCCCGCUGCCACUGAUAUCCAAUGGACAAGCCUGACCCAGCUCACUUUUGUAAAGGAAGACAUUUCAACUACUGAGAACCCUACUGACCUUGUGCUAUCGCUGACACAGACACAAGUGGGUAGGUGGGAUUUCACCUCAGAGAGAAAUUUGAACAAGGUGAACGCUCCACUCAGGUAGCAACAUUUACCCUGGUGUCAUCGCACACAAGGUCCCACACAAUAAAGAUGGGAACUGAAGGCUCCCCAGCGUGUGCUGAUAAAAAUGGGAAGGUGCAUACAGUCCUUCCUAUGCCAGUGGCCGCUGUAGCCAGCCCAGAAGGCCCAGCCUUUGGUCUUCCAUCCCUGGAGUCCAGAGGAUAUUAUGCAGAUUGCUGCUGAAAUAAAGGACCCUAGACAGCAUGGGGGUCCGAAGUGUGCUGAGGAGCUGCUUUGUUUCUGCAAGACUUAUUUCUCCACUAGUCAUGAAAUGUGCCGCAUCAUUGCGAAGAAACUGUUACUAGAGUUUAGUAAGGUUCACACUGUUUUCCCUGAAACAGAAAUUUGUGCGCGGGACCCAGACUGGGAAGACAGUGCUAACACGGCAUACUGAGACUUUAUUACAGCCGUGCAAACCCACCUGAUUGAACAAUUCCCAGUGCACAUGGAUGUCACACAAGUCAUGACCUGCAAACAGGAGGAGGGGAAACCAUCUCGCAAUACUUACAAUGCGGCAUGAUUGUCUAUGAUACACAUUCUGGCUUGGAAAGACCACAUGACAUGGCCAUCAGUAGCCAGGUCAUGCCCUAUGAGUUUUAUUUGAAAUAUGCCCUCCUGAAUGGCCUGAAGCCCAAGAUUGAAAGAGUGGUCAAAGACCGAUGUGUUACAUGGGAAAUCUGCAAGCUGUCCGAGCUUGAGAGACAUGCUGUACAUGCAUAAAAGAGGCUGAACGAAAAGGCAAGGCGCAAACAGAAAGCCAGAGAUGAUGCCAUGCACAAAGCCAUGCUUACAAUGGCACAAGCAGUGGGGGACGGAUACAAAGCCAGGGGAGCAGGUCGAGGUCAAGGCUGUGGACGUGGGAAAAGAGGCUGUUUUAAAAACACAGGCUGUUUUGUCUGCGGAACACAAGAUCAUUGGGCCCGUGACUGCCCCAAGAAGUGAAAAAAGGAAAGUCUGGGGCCAAACCUGAAAGGAAAGAAGAGGACAAGGAAAAGAGUGAGUGAAGGAAGAAAAAUUUCCUCAUAUAAAGUGCCCCUGAGUCUCGAUGAGGUGGGAAGAGUGCGAAAGGGCAUGCCUGCACUCAGAGCACCAGCAAAUGUCAAGAAGGACGAAGGGUCACCCUACCCGAACCUCUCCCCAAUGACCACAGUAUGAAGAACCCAUCAUGAGCUGAAUGAGAGAUAUACCGGUAGAGCACCAGUUGCGCUUGGACGAGCAUAGAGACUAUAACUGGGGGUGGUUGUGUGGAUUUUUUAGGAACGGGACAGCAUAUGUUUCUAUACUUAUUCCUGUUGUUCUGAUAUUAUUGUUGUUGAUUUGUUUCUGUGCACCAUGUUUGAUGCAAUGUCUCACUGCUAUGAUAAAUAGAAUAAUGUCAGCAUAUCUAUGUGGCUACCAACUGGUUAAGGUAGACCCAGAUGAGCUUCCAGACUGGCCUUUGUCACGUCAUGGAAACUAUGAUCCUCCAUUUAGGGAUGAGGAUGACGAGGACCUGAAGGAGAUAUUGUAGGACAAUAUUUAAGUUUAGCAGCACCAUGCAUUGCUUUUCCUAUCUAAAGAAUGCCAUGUUCUAGAGAUGUCUAUGUCUCGCUAAAACCACAAUAUACUUAGUUUUCAUUCUCCUAUAAAUGAAAUGUCUACCUAAAACCUAAAGGGAAGGGUAGGGAUAGAUGUGAUUAGGAGAAGUCUUGUAGUUAGCUUGGUAGUUGACAUGGUUAGCUUGGUAUGCAGUACGUUAUCGAAGAAUCGGUGGGGGGGGGAGUAUAAUAGAAAAUUUUAAGUGUUUAAGAAGAUUUUAAACGUCUAAAUUUAAAUGUUUAAUUUCAACCAUCUAAGCAGAAAAAUUUUUGUCCUUGAGUGUGUGUGUGUACGUGAUGAGACUGUUUGCAUUCAUUCGGUAUUUAUUAGAUAAUGUUUGCAUGCACUUGCCUAGCUUCAAGAUUUUCACAUAUUCAGGCUAUAAAGAGAGCACAAUAGAGAUAAGAUGUCCUCUUCACUGAAGAAACAUUAUCUCUUUUCUAGUGAGAGCCCUGUCAUGCAAGAGUGAAUAAAACCUAUUUCUUCCGUUGCUUCAGGUUCUUUGUUUCAGCAUGUUUAUUUUUUUCCACCACAA